rnacentral:misc_RNA from 1 species
UACCCCACCUGUUUAUGUAUAUUUUUCGAAUUUCUUGAAACAGAGCACUUCCCAGCUUAUAACUCAACAACGAAAAGGAGCAAACUUAAGGCUUCAACAUGGAGCUGGAAUGCGAUCUGAGUGCAAUCCAAAAUGAGGACUUGCUGCGGCGCAUGUGGCAGCAAACACCGGACAUCGAUCAAAAGAAGGAAAUUCGUUCCCACUUAUAUAAAUUGCGUGAAUCGCGUUUACGUGACUUAUAUCAAGGCGAAAUCAUGGCUGGCAACUACGCUAAAGAUCCGUUGAACUCGUCGCACGGCGAUUCUUUGGUGGGUCAAAAUUUUCAAAGCUUGAAAUCAAAAGAAGUACGAGAUUCAGUGAGUCCCAUAAAUGAUUUGAAAUUCCACUCCAUGACCCUGAAUCAUCCCAAUACAACUGGUUGGGACGUUCAAACUUCGUCCGAGGUGAGUCCAGAUGGACGCGCAUAUCGUACCGAAACCUUGGCUACCACAGAUGGCGUUGAAAAGAUUAAUGGAGGCACCGCUGAAUUCCGCGGCCGAAACGAGCAACGCGCAAGUGCUUCUCAUCAAGGGGACGAUAAGAACUUCGUUAAGAAGGCAUCGGAAAGCUCCAAUACUCACUUGCAAGAGCGUGUAGUGGUUGGCGAUGAAAAUUCCGGGCGCACUGAGAUGAAAACUAGCUCAACUACAACAUCUUCCUCAUCGCAGGUGACAUCCUCGUCAUCCACUAUCGAAUAUGGUGGUGCCGAUCCAAACGAUGGUCGAUAUCUUAUGGAUAAUACUCAGAGACAACAUCAAGAUCAUCAACGACUCACGCAAGAUCAAUAUAAUCAGCAGAUUCGACAACAACAACAACUACAGCAGCAAGAAUAUGAACAAAACAUACAACACCAACAACAUCAGCAACGUGUCCAGCAACAACAUCAGGAAUUCAACAGUAAUCGUCAAGAAUCGUCUACAAGCCGUAAUGUUGAGACUCAACAGACGAAGGAGCAGAACAGACGUGUUGUAGAUAUGGAUAAGGCUUCACCUGAAUAUCAGCAACAUGUCCAGCAUCUUAUGGCACAACCUGGUGAGAUUAUCUCGAACACGGUUGAGUAUCCGAAACCGAAUGUUAAGAUGAUCACUACCGUUAAGCGUUUACCUGAUGGUACUAUCGUCAAGAAUAAACGUUACGAAACGGAAGAGUUACGUCCUACAGUGGAUACUCAACGUCAACGUACGACUUCUACUACGAGCCAGAGCAGCACUCAACAUAGAAACGAACAGCAAAGACGUGAGCAGACCGAAGAUAAUGUAUACAAUCGUCAACAAAACGUGCGCAAUAAUGUGUAUUCGAAUAAUACUCCAAGACGACCUGAACACGAUGUCGUCGAUAACGCCGAACCUUUCUUGCGCAAACCAAACCCUCAAGAUUUAGCGGUUUCACAUCCGGCCGAUCAUUUUGUGGAUGAAACCACUAAUGUCGAGACUAAAUUUUCAUCGGUGAAAAAAUCAAGCCGUAAAUUCUCCACUGAAACGACAUCAGAAACUAUUGAGGAGUUUUCGGAUCAGCCACCCUCUUCACAGGCUCCUGGUAUCAGAGGUAAGCCGCCGAGUGGUCAUUUACCUAACAAGGAUUUUUCUACUCAUGGAUUUCCUUCAGUGAAGCCGAAUAAGCCCACUCAAGAAUAUCCUUCUGAACGUCCACAUAUCGGCUCACAACCUGAUUUUAGUACUCAUGGGUUUCCUUCGGUGAAAUCAAAUAAACCAACGCAAGAAUACCCAAGCGACCGUCCACGUCCUUCUGAGGUGGAGCGUAUAACACAACGAACUGUGACUCCCACAAAUAAGCCGAGCACAGAUGCACCACAUGGAUUUCCCGCAGUAAGACCAAACACAAAUAUUACUACCACCAAGGAUGGUGAUGUGAUAAUUGUAAGUUCUGAAUCUACGCGCAGUUCAAAAUAUAAGACCAAUGCAGAGCGUGUUAUCGAAACUGAAGUAGUAGUUGAUGGAGAUUCUAAUGUUCGUCCUGAAAGUUAUCCUAACCGUGGGUUUCCCGCAGUAAACGAACCAUUAACUGGAGGUAGAGAUUCGCCAAGAUAUGGUGCCCCUAUUAAGGAGUAUCCGAGUAGUCCGAUAAAACAAUCACCAGAAUACUCCACAAGCGGAUUUCCAUCUACCAAAGAUGUGGCUAGACCGAAUUCAGGACAACCUGUGCCUUCAAGAACCGUUGACCAAGAUGGAAAUGUUAUAGUAGUGAGCUCGGAAACAAAGAAAGUGAUUAAACAUAAUACAAACAGGGAGCAUAUUAUUGAAACAGAAAUUGCUGGUAAUUACGAUCAUCAUACACCGUCAGGCUUACGCCAACCAGACAAAAUUACUUUUCCACCUACUCCUCAACCAGGGGAUUUCAGCACACAUGGAUUCCCAUCGGUAAGAGACUCUGCACCCACCAAUGAUGCAUAUCGUCGACAGGGCACACCUACACGUGAUUAUCCCAGUAGUCCCCGAAAGGCCCAACCAUCCGAAGAUUUUUCGACUCACGGUUUUCCCUCUGUUAGGGAGUCGGCACCAGUUAGAGGAAGUACACCUUCUCGAGACUACCCGAGCAACCCAGGUCAACAUCAGCCAAAAGAUGAUUUUUCUACACAUGGUUUUCCAUCUGUAAGAAGUCCCAAGAAAACUGCACCGGAUUUCUCAACACCGUCAGGUGGCUUCCCAUCAACUAGGGAUACUAACGCUCCCAAGCUUACGCCAACUCAACCACAAAGAAUACAACCGAAUACAACACCCACAAGGAAACCUACGAGUACGACAGACUCUUCUCAACGCCUGAUUUCGAAGGAGAGGGAUGUCGACGCCACCCAUCGUGCCUUUGCCGCUUCACUACGAUGUUCGUCACCAGUGGAUAGUACAGAUCAUCAUCGGACCACACCGCGUUCCAGCGUUUCAUCGACCAGGACAUUCCGACGAGAUGGCCGAGAAGGUUCCCAUGACAGCGAAACAAGUCGCAUCAGUUCAGGCACAGUUACGCGUUCUUCGCCAAGUAAGAGUGUUGGUAAAACUGUCGUUACAAAGCAAACUGUUGUUAAAACUCGUAACGUGAAUGGUUCUAACGAAACAAUUGAUUUAACACCCCAGCAGCGCCCCACAAAGUCGCCGUCUCCCACAAAGACCAUCACAACGACCACCACACGCACCACAACAACUAGAAAGAGUCCAGGAGAAGUGCCAAAACCAGAUAAUCAAAAAUCUAAGAAAGCCGAAAACACAUUUCCUAUUAUUAACGAACCACUAACCAUCACAAAAACCCACUUUACCGCAAAUGACGCCAGCUUCCUCGGCAACGAGGUGGUCGAGGAGCCAUGCUUAAAAAAACACUUUUACAAACUCGGUCCGUCCGACAAAGCAACACCAAACAAUGUUGACGAGAAGUCACCAUAUUCACCAGCACCAAGUAAUAACAUACAUCGCACUCAUCCCAAAACAACAUCCCCAGUUCGGGAUGAUUUCGAAGAUGUUAACCACGAAGAGCCCAUCCAUAAACAACCACUAAGUUCAUACGUAAUCGAACCUAAACAACGUAAUCGUUCACCAUCAGGACCACUUCCAAGUGGUAGUCCGCAAACCAUUUGUCAACCAAACAGAAAAGAAUCUAGUGUUGGGCGUAGGACUGUUGUGAGAGAAAGUGAAUUUGAAAAUACAGAUUGGCAAAAUACAAUUCUAGAUUCGAACGAACGACCCUAUCCUGUAAAGGAUGGAUCUUCAAAACCGCGAGAAAACCGUCCUAAAGAUGAUGAUUAUAUAAAAGAAACACUAGUUGAUACGUCUGAUUUUCCGGUAAUUAGAGAAGAAACUAUUAAACGAACAGAUCAAAACAGACAGAAGGAGAUUGUGGCCAUUAAAGGUACGAGAAAUGAAAAACUGCGAUCUAAUGAAAACAAUUUUGUAACAAUUGAGAAUGAUGUAAGAAAGCCGAAUGGAAAAGAACCUUCCGGACCGGUCGGCAAGAAACCUACUUCGGCAAAACCACUAGAUUCAACGGACAGGAGACCUAAAGAAAGAAAACCAUCUGAUAAACAUCCCAUUGAGUAUACGGAGAAACCUAAAAGUCCAAUUCGAAAAACUUCCGAUUUUACCUCUUCAAAUAAAUUCGAUACCUCCGUAACAACAAAAACUACACGGAAGGAAAAUUCAAAUGUUAUUGGCGAUGAUAUCGAACCACAUCAAAGUAUUCCAAAACAGCCAUCUGAGAGGAAACCAAGUGAUACAGGAAAAUUAAAACCGAACGUCGUUGAUCGCAGUCCGAUUAGAAAACCAACGAACUCAAAAACUCUCUCAGAUAUAACUUUGAAAUCGGUCUGUAAAGAAAACGAUGAACCUGUGGAUAGAAAACCAACGGGUGCAUCCCUAAAAGAACCUGCUUUUAAGAGACCAACAGGAAAGAAACCUGAAUCUAGUCCUACACGAAAACCGGAGAAAGAUACUUCAAUUACUUCUGAAGACAACGUAAUCAAAACCAGUACUAUUACUACUACGGUCACGAAAACUCGCAAAGACAACGUUUCUCCUACCAGACCCAAUAAUAAAACUCCUGACGAAGAUAGACCAACAAAAUUGUCGCAACAAAAGCCGAUAUAUACCAAUACUUUAAAGCACGAACCACGCGAUGAGUACCCCGCACCUACUGAUAACAAUCCAACAAAGAAAAUACCAACAAAGGAGAAUCUUAAGUCAACAGAAAUUAGAGUUACUAAAACACAAGUGGUAGCAUCUACCGAUAAAUAUCAGCCUGGUCCAAAAAGAACAAAACCACUUACUACAGAACCUUCCAAUUCAGAAUAUGAUGAUGAUGUAAACGAGAGUGAACAUGAACAAAGUAAUCCUCUCAGGACGGCACCAUCUGAGCCUGAAAAGGUCACACCGGAAAAUACACCAAAUAAUACUCAAGAAAGAGAAGACUUCUCGGACACUGAGAGCACAAGCUCAUCAUUUAUUACGACAAUAAUCAAAAAGGUACGCACAGAUGAACCAAAAACAACUCAUCAAACGAUUACCGAUGAGACGAAAAAAGUUCAAGAGCUUUUCAAUAAAACCGAUAAGACGAAAAUAACUAAAAAUGUAAAUGAAGAAUUCAUAACUUUCGAACAACGGAAGCGAGAAAGAAUUCCAGUUGAUGAUACUCCUACAACAAAAACAGAAUUACGAAAUAAGGAAGCGAAUAAACCAAGUUUUGAACCAAUAGAUAAUUAUUCGAAACCCAAUGAUACAGACGAUGACGAGCAAUCCUGUACUAAUGCAAAUACUUUGAAAAUAAGUUCAGUUAGAACAACUUUAAGAACCUUUGCUCAAGACAAGUCGCAUUCCCCCGAAUACCAACCCAGUGAUAGGGAACCCAAACUGGUGCAGCCAUCCGUUAUGGGCUUGAGUAACGACGAUGAGGUCCCACAGCAAACAAUUGAAUCGACAAACAAAAAUACUCACAAAGCUAAUUCACCGAAUUUCACAGAUGGUGGAAAACCCAAAUCUGAUGCUAAGCAGAUUUUGCCAGACCAUAACGUUAAGGAUCGCAUUCCGUCCACAAAACCAACUGGACAAACUUUUGAUACUAUUAUUUCGACUACCACUACUAAAAUUUCCCAAAACUUACCUGGCGAAAAAACAACAGCAAAGCCUCGAGAGGCUUCCGAUAAACUUGUGCAAACCACUUUCGAUGAAACUAAAAAAGUUGAAGAACUCUUUAAUACUAAUAAAUUGGCUCAUACAAAAAAUACUAUUGAAGAGUUUAUUACUAUUGAAAGGCAAAACAAAGAAACCCCAGAUGGAGCUUUUAUAUCGAAAGCACCUGAACCUGAACCAAGUUCUCCAAGUUUUAAGAAAAAAGGUGUUAGUCCAAGAGAAACCUUUGAAGAUCGUUGCCGUCAAAUCUUAGGCAUGGAAAACUAUGGAGACACUCCUGGUGUUUAUAAAAAGAAACCUGAAGAUAUAUCCGAGCUAACUGAGUCAGUUACCGUUAAUGUCACAGAAUUGGAUGUUCAAAUAGAGGACUGUGAAGAUGAUGAAUCCACUUAUGUAAAUAAUAUUAAAGAUUCUGUUAAGCCUCAGAAACCACAACAACCCAAAACCGGCAAUACUCUUGAUGAUGAGAUACUAGAAGAAGUGGAAUGUGUUCCUAAAGAAACCGUUGUACCAUUUAAAAGAAGUUCUCCAGAUACGGAGCCCUUGACUGAAAUCUGUCGUAAAACAACUUUGAUUUCUGAAACCGAUUUAAAUAAAGAAGAAGAUGAACAAACGGUCUCUAAAAAGUCUUCUAAAAUAGUUACUAAAACUUCCAGUCCAUCACCGAAGAAGGUAAAAUCCCAAAAUGAGGAGCCAGAAGAUUCAUCAACCACCGAUUCAGAGUUUCCGGAAAAAGAAACGGACGAAGAGUCUCAACCGGAUACUAUAGUAUCUAAAAGGGAUAUGCAAUAUACAGAAGAAGUAGAGAAUGUCUCGAAUGUGGUUGAGGUUACCAAAAAACAAGUAACGAAAGAAAAACCUUCUAGUCCUAAUAAAAGUCCGACCAGAAAGCCAUCCGAGCCUCAAGUUACUCGUAAAAUAUCUCCCGUCAGACAACAUCCUUCUGGCUCCUCCACGAUAACAGAAUUGAAAACAAUCGAAACAAAGACUAAGUCGCGUGAACCGAAUAAACCUUCAAAAAUCAAAAGUGAAACUAAGCUUGUUGACAAGUCAGCGGAGAAACCGGAUAAUCAAAGUAUUGUUGGAAGAGAUAAACCAACAUCAACAGCGAAGUUGCGGUCAGAACGUAUCAAUAAAGUUGAUACCGAUAAAGGUCAUCAAAAGCCCACAAAAGAGUCUCCAACUCACACAAUCAAAGACCGCUUACGUUCUGCCACCAGAAAUAAUAAGCCUUCCGAAUCGCAAUCUGACUCUUCGCCUGAUGUUAGUCCUUCACGGUUUACAGAGCGAAGACGUUCGAGUAAUAUUUCCGUACAUACUGAAAUCAUAAUUGAUCAUUCAGGACCAAAAUCUCCUAAACCUAUUGAAAAGAGCCCUGAGAAACAUGCACCACAGACAAAGAAAACCAGUUCGGCAGAUAAAACUUCACCAAACACAAGACCGGUUCGGAGACUUCCUGUAACCGAACGAAAAGAAUCUGCGCCGGUUCCGAGUGUUACUCGUAAAGAAAAGGAUGCAAAAAUGACUCGAUCAACAAGUGAGAAAGUUAUGAAAAUUACUGAUAAACCGCUAAAAGAAACUGUUGUGAAUACAUUGGCACCAAGCCCCACACCGAAAGGUGAUCGUCGACCUAAUAAAUGCUUCACCACCAAGACCAUAAAUCUCACUACUACAGAUAAACUAAUAAAUAGCGAGGAAAUGGAGAAUGUUAUAAUAGAUAUUCAACAUGCGAAGAGUUCUCGUGAGCCAUCACCAAAUAAAAUUGUCCCUACGCCAGUACCGGUGCAUUUAGAUACGGGUAGGCCUCGUUAUCCCGACGUUGUGCAAGAACCUGAAGAUGAACCUCGCAAAAAACCGGUAAUCACAAAUAUUCCUAUUUUUGAAGAAGAAUCAAACGAAUAUAUCAAAUGCCAUAUAUCAGAGGUGAAGACAGAUAAGAUUUCGAAAUUGGAAGGCUUAGAUGAGAAUGAUAUUCUGGAUAACCCUAUGAUUGAAGCUCCAAAAAGUCUUGAUUAUCCGUCUAUCGAUAGACUUGACGAUGACUGCCUUUUGAGCGUUCAUGAGAAGGUUUCCAAGUUCACACAUACAGCUGAAGAAAUUAAGAAACCCAAAGCAUCUAGCCCAUUCAGUAGAGAGUUCGACAAAACACCCAAAGUACCAGAAAAUGAUGAAUGCUUAUUGACAGUUGAUGAAAAAGUUAACAAGUUCAUUAAGACAGCAGAAGAGGUAGCGAAACCCAUCACACCUAUACGGGAGGUUGAACGCCCCACCUACACUGAUUUGGCCGAAGAGUUACGAACAGAUGAUUGCACUUUGUCGGUGUCUCAAAAGGUGAAUAAAUUCUUGAGUACUGCAGAAAAAUUGGCUCCAACUGCGCCGCAAAGGUCCCCUGAAUUGGUAGCUAAGAUCGAAAGGACUAUUUCCAAGCAGAGUGAGCCAGAGUAUCCCGAAGAUCUUAGUGAUGAUGAACUAACGCCUUUUUCACAGAAUCAUACUCUCGAGAUUGAGAAAAGACGUCAAAAAGACAUACUCUCUCGACCAACUGUAUUUGAAAAUACAACAAAAACUGAUCAGUAUAGUGAUUACUCAGAGGUAAAACUUACUACAACCAAAAAUAAUACCUCACUAGAAGAACACGAGGAAGUAAUUCCUCAUACAAGAGAUCAUACAACCAAACUUGAAUUAAAACGACAAAAAGACAUUUUGUCCAGACCUUCAAUCAAUAAUCAGAAUGUGAAAGGAAGACCACAAUCGCCCAAUAAAAAGGAGCCCACUGGUCCAAGCAAGCAUCCAUUAACGAAUGUUAAAACAAAGCAGAUGGAAUAUACAACACGAAAAAUAAACAGAGAGGAUAGUGAUAAAAUUGAAAUUAAAGCUGAGCGCAAACCAUCCACUCCGGUGUCCAAGCCUGAUAGCCGUAGAACAACAAUACCACAAGCUUCGUCAGUCGCUGUAACCAGAUCUCGUUUUGAGACCACUGAUAUGAAAAGGAAAAUACCAAAAUCGUCUGUUGAACCGAAAGCAAAAAUUAUUACUGGUCGUAAACCAACGAGUGAACCCAAGACAUCUGGUAGAAAACCAUCGACGGAAUCGAUCACUCACUCUUCUUAUCCCAGCAGAGGUAAGCCAAAAACUGAGCUUGAUAGUCAAUUUGAUGGCAGGAAACCAUCUACUGAAUUCGAAAUCAACGUUCAUGAUUCCGAAGCCGUCGAGUCCGAAACGGAGUUUACAUCAACAUCACGUCGCAGAAGUUCAUCAAAAACAAAAGAUUAUUUAGAGACGGUACAAACAGAAAUUGAACGGUUUUCUCCUACUCAAAAAGAAUCUCCAACUCGAAAAACUUUCCUGAUGGAAAAGAAAACACCCCAAACUUUCUCUCACAGCCCUAUUCGAAAAGAUACCACUAGCACUACCAAUGUUAUUCACGUAACCGAGCGCACAAAUAAGCACAAUUCAGAUUGUUCCGAUAUUGAAAUCGUUGAAACUGUUAUAGAGCGCCCCUCACACGUAAAGACGCCAACACCUACACCAACAACCGUUGGUCGUACUCGCAUAACAUCAGAUACUGUUGCCGCUCGCCGCAACAUUUUCGAAACCAAUACCACGCCGAAGGGUCAAAGUCCAGGAGAAAGCAAUUCGCCCUCACCUGUUGGUAGACGUCCAUCAUAUAUGGAUCACACAGUUAGCUCUUUAGAGCACAGUCGUCGUGAUUCACUAGAAGUGAAUAAGCAUAACUAUUCACGCAAGUCAUCGGUGGAUUCGGAAAUCAAUUAUGAGCGUCGACCAAAUACUGCAGUGAAAUUUGAUGUGCCACAUAAACCGCAGCGUACUGCUAGUAUUCCUGAGGAUAUUGAUGUUGAGAAUAUUUUCGAAUUGGAAGUAUUGGAGCGUCUUUUGGAGACGGUAACCUCAUAUGAACUGAGACGCAGGAUUCGCGCCCAAAUACGUUUGGUUAAGAAAAACACACUCAACACUAAUGUGGUUGACAAAAGGAAAACAGAAACUAAAGCAUCUAAUUCCAUAAGAUCAACUCACAAAACAUCUACUUACAAAUCAAAUGUACAUCAAGAAGAAACUGACACCAUUAAUGAAGUCGUAACAACGAAAGUGCCAUAUGACAAUAAAGGUAGUCCAAAACAUCCGGUUCAAACACCAAAGAUGGGUAGGGCAACUCAAAAUGCACCGCGAAAAUCCCCAUAUGGUACUGAAGAAAGCCCAAGGUCGCACAAUAAACUGCACAGCGAACAGAACGUUACUACAAAAAGCACAUAUGAUACUAAAACUGCAAAUGGUCGCACAGAAAGCCCUGAACGUCCCAGAAAAUUGCCCUUUGAACGCGAUCACAGUCCCGAAACAAAAACUUCUCACGAACAAGUAAAAGAAAUACGUCGUAUAUCUGGUUCUUCGAAGUCCUCACAUAAAGAAUAUGUACAUAGCGAGCAGACGGAUUACUCGGAAGAGAAUAUCAAGAGCUCCCGCCGCCAUGUUGAGCAGAGUUCUGAACGUUUUGAAAAAGAUCAUAGUCGUGAACGCAAUUCUAGUCCGGAAUCUAAGAGUCCUGUUAGGGACGGCAGACAUAGUCAAGAUAUUAAAAUAAAAACUUUGCCUAGCACACGCAUCAGAAGUCCUGAUGACAGAAAGUCGUCAUCGCAACGCACAAUCAGUCCAAAAGGAAGAACGCCGAAACAACGUGAUGAAUUAUAUAACAUAUCCAAGGUAACGACAGUUAAAACCACACGCUCACCCGAACGUAAAUCUAGUAAGCCGAAUGUUGACGAAAACGUCCCCAUUUGGGCAGAUCGUAAAAAUCUGCUCAAGAGUCCAAGUAAUGCACCACGUAAAGUGACAACUACGCCGUCAACACGAAACACGGCAACGAAGGUUACAACAUCGAAGACAACCAGUCAACGCCAAACUCAGAAUAGAAACUUUGAAGAAGAUUCAAUCACCUCGAGUUAUGGCAUUGGACCGACAGACGAAAAUGGUUUGCCUUUAUUCGGCAUUAAGGCGUUGAAAAAGAAGAAGCCGAGUCAGCCCUGUGAAGCAACUGAAGAAGUCACAGGCUAUGUCAUCGAGGAGAAGUAUUAUUCAGAUAGUAAAACAAAACCGAAAGUUGAGCGUAAGGAGUACAUUUAUUCAACAAAUGCCGAUGAACUCGAAGAAAUUACAAAAACUCUUGAGCAAAGCCGUAAAUCUUCAGAGGAUAAUGUAGAUGUCAUCAGAAAAGUUGAGAAACUCGAUAAGGAUUACAUUUUUGACAAACCUGAAGCUAUUAUGCCAGACACAGAGGACUUUACUACAACGUCCAGCAAAUAUGUUCGCCGUGGAUCAGUGAAGGAGCUAAGUGAGAAAUUCAUACGAAAAGAGUCUUCACAAUCAGUAACAGAAAAAUCCGGUGGCUACCCAAAGGCCGGUUUGAUUUUACGUACCCGCCGUGGGUCGUCAUCAGAACCAAGUGGAGAUGGUUAUGAAAUAACUACUGAAAAAUAUAGCACAACAUCGAGCAGUCAUGUUCGCCGCGACGAUUCCGAUGAUGAACAAAACGUGCAGCUGCGUCAGAAACAAACGCGGCGUAUACUCACUGACUACGACGAUAACGACGCAGACCAAUGUCACUUGAGUAAUCGUUCGUCGACGAAGUCCACACGCUCGUUCCUUAACAGCGGCGAAACUAAAGUGGUGACCAGCGUGGAUGAUGCGCUGGAGCGUAUGCGUAAUGCAGAUUAUGUUGUAGAGGAAGGUGAUACGGCAGAGGAUCGCGAGGCGCGUUCAUUGUUGAAUAAAUUUCUGGGUGCCAGCGUUAUAAUGAAAGGUGUCGAAAGUGUUUUGCCAACAACCAAACAAACAACAACUACUACCAUUACCAAAACUUCAUACGGCGAUGGGGAUGAUGGCGACAGAGACCUACUGAAGAAUAAAGCGGUGAAAACCACUCGCAUAACGAAAACGACCAAGUCUGGAAGCUCUUCAACACCAGUUACCCGUACAACUUGUGAUAUCGAGGAGAUCUGGGACGAAGAAAUCUUAAAGGAAUUGCUUGAACAGGCCACAACAUACGAAGAACGCCGGAAGAUACGCGCGCGUCUACGAGAUUUAAUGGCGGAACGUGAAGAUUGAUAAUAAGCUAGGCAAGACUCUGUAAAUCUUGAUUUGGGUAUCCAGCCAAUACAGUAUUUUAGUCUUCUCAAUUAUUUUACGUAUUGUGACUGUUCUGCGACUCUGUACGUAUUGACGUGAAGGAAAAUGGAAGAGGAGGGACCACAUGUUGUUUUAUUAUUGAAACUUUAACGCCGAUUUCAAUUUAACAUCAAUACACAGUCGAAGGCUAAUAUCAUAAACCAAACAAAUACCAUUACACGCACAGUACACUAAAUAUUUGAGUGCACGAAAUGGCUCAGUGACCAUCGGAACUCCGCUAAUGCCCACUUGGGUCACUAGCGAUUGCAUUAAUGCAAUGAUGUCGAAAUUGACGGAAUGCCUGCCAGAAAGAUUGCGCCCAGCAGCAUAUGUUAGA